rnacentral:misc_RNA from 1 species
GAUGAAGAACGUAGCGAAAUGCGAUACUUGGUGUGAAUUGCAGAAUCCCGUGAACCAUCGAGUCUUUGAACGCAAGUUGCGCCCGAAGCCAUCAGGUUGAGGGCACGUCUGCCUGGGCGUCACAUAUCGUUGCCCAAUGCCUAUUGCAGUGCAAUAGGAAUUUCUAGGGCGAAUGUUGGCUUCCCGUGAGCGUUGUUGCCUCGCGGUUGGUUGAAAAUCGAGUCCUUGGUAGGGUGUGCCAUGGUAGAUGGUGGUCGAGUUAGAACGAUACCGAUCAUGUGCAUGCUCCCCAAAAUAUGGCCUCUAUGACCCACACGCGUCUUUUGACGCUCAUGACGAGACCUCAGGUCAGGCGGGGCUACCCGCUGAAUUUAAGCAUAUCAAUAAGCGGAGGA